rnacentral:lncRNA from 1 species
GUUGGACUGGGGUGUCCAGAUGAAGGGGAGGGGAGGAUUAUAGGAAUGGGACAGAAAAAAAUCAAAUAGUUUUCUUUGACAAAACUUCAAAUACUAUGGGACUAGACUGAGGAAAUGUUUUUAAUAAGUUUAUUUCUUGAAAUUGGAUCUUAAUUACUCUUUGGAAGAUAAUCUUUCCGAAAACAUUGUCAGUUCCUGAAUUUUAACAUAAAUUAACUAGUUAAUAGGAAUAAUAGGAGCUGGUCAUCCAUCUUUUUUUUUUUUUUUUUUUUCUGAACGGUAAGGAAUUUACCUUAAUUUACUUGUAUCAAUAUGCUUCUUGGGCAAAUAGUGACCCAUGAGUCUAGCUAAGCAAAAGGACAAUUGUACAUCUGCCCUCCUACAUUAUUUAUGGCAUUGUCCUCUUUUCUUUUUUAGGGGGGAGGGAGGUGGGGGAAGCUAGUAUGUAUGAGAAAAGAAUUCAGUUUCCAUACAUACGUACAUUUGUUUUCUAUUGCAGCAAUAACAAGUUGCCAAAAACUUAGUAGUUUAAAACAACACAAAUUUAUCAUCUCACACUUACGUAAAUCAGAAGACCCGGUGGGUUAGCCCAGUUCCUCUGCUGUAGUCUUCACAAGCCCAAGAUCAAGGUGUUAGGCUCUGGGGGCAAAUCUGCUUCCAAGCUCAUUCAGAUUGUUAACAGAAUUCAGUUGCUUAUAUUUGUAGGUCUGAGGUCCCAUUCCUUGCUGCUGUCAGCUGGGAUCCUCUCUCAGUUGCUUCAAGUGUCAUCCAGUCCUCCAUCUUCAGACCGGCAAUGGUGUGUGGAAUCCUUAUGCUUCAAAUAUCUCUGACUUCACUUUCCUCCACAUCUGUCCUACCUCCAGCCACAGAAAGUUUUCUGUUUUUAAGAGGCCAGGUAAUUAAGUGAGACCCACCCAGAUAUUCCAGGAUAAUUUCCUGAUAUUGAGGUCCAUAAUUUCAAUGACAUCUGCAAAGUCUCUUUGCUAUGUAACAUGUUCACAGGUUCUGGGAACAUUUUGGGGAGUCAUUCUGCUACAGUGCCAUCUAUGAAAGGUGUUUUAUAAACCCAAAAAUGUUUAGUUAAAAAUUGUUUCAUCAUAGCAGUCACUCGACUUGGCAUAGAAUAAAUAUUGACCUAGUAACUUAAAAUGGAAAAUUUGAAGUAUUUGAAAAAUACAACUCAGAUGCCAGUAGGGUCCAAGCGUAUUGGUGACUAAAACCCCCCUUCAGACUUGCAGUGGCAUACCGUUCCACUGUAUAUCAGUUCCAUGGCCACAUUUAUAAUGGUGGAUAAAGUUAACAAAACGUUUGAAACUUGUAAAUCAGAUACUUUAAAAAUACCAGAGAGCCUACUAUUUAGAUGAAUUCUUUGUUUUAUGGAUUUUUCUUUUUUUGGUUUUUUUUUGUUGUUGUUGUUGUUGUUUUUGUUUUUGUUUUGAGACAGAGGUCGCCCAGGUUGGAGUGCAGCAGCGCCAUCUCUGCUCACUGCAACCUCCGCCUCCUGGGUUCAAGCAAUUUUCCUGCCUCAGCCUCCAGAGUAGCUAGGACUACAGGCGUGCGCCACCAUGCCCAGCUAGUUUUUUUGUAUUUUUAGUAGAGGCAGGGUUUCACCAUGUUGGCCACACUGGUCUCAGUCUCCUGACCUCAUGAUCCACCUGCCUCGGCCGCCCAAAGUGCUGGGAUUACAGGCGUGAGCCACCACACCCGGUCAGAUUUUUCUUAAGAUGGGAUGUACUUAACUUUCCGUUUGUUGACUGUCAAAUUCUCUACAAGAUUAUUUGAAUUCCAAAGCAACAUUAUUGUGUAAAUGUCAGCCAGUUGGUUAAUAAAAUGUAAAGUGAGAAACUGCCAAAAUAAUCUUAAACUGUAAGAAAGGCAAAAAUAAUAAUAAAAGGACAAUGGGAUGCAUGAAAAUAAUUUUGUUUUAGUUUAUCUGGAAUGUAUUUUGGUAUAGAUGUGACAGUAACUUAAAAACAAUAAAUUAAAAAUCAACUAAUUGGCCCCACAUUAUUUGAAAUAAGUCUUUCCUCUCUAAAUUGUGAUGUCAUCCUUAAUCAUAAUACUAAAUUCUUACCCAUACGGAAUUGUUGAUUCUAGCCUUAUUACCACACUAUUUUAAUUAUUAUACUUUCACGUUAUAUUUGGAAUCUGAUUAGGCCAGUUUCCCUUUACUAUUAUUCCAAAGCUUUAUUGGCCUUCAUUUCCUUUUCUAGGAUCUUCAGAACUUUUUGAUCUUGCAAAACUGAGACUCUAUACCCAUUAAACAACAACUCCCCAUUUCUCCCUCCCCUCAGUCCCUGGUAAUCAUCAUUCUGCUUUCUGUCUCUGCAUUUGACUGGAUAACCUCAUUUAAGUGAAAUGAUACAGUAUUUGUUUUGUGACUGGCUUAUUUCACUUAGCAUAGUCCUCAGGGUUUAUCUAUGUUGCAGCAUGUAUCAGAAUUUCCUUCCUUUUUAAGGCUGAGUAAUAUUCCACUGUGUAUGUAUAUGCCACAGAAAUCAAGCUAAUUUUCUUUUUUAUUAUUAUUAUACUUUAAGUUCUAGGGUACAUGUGCAC